CUGCUCGGUGCAUGCGGUGGCGGGAGAGGCCAAGAAGAGCAGCAGGAACAGCUGCAGCACGACCGGAGGAACAGUGAAUGAACACAUUGAUGCACAAAGAGUGCCCAUGGAUUACUCAUCUGUUCUUUUGUGGCAAAGAAGCUUUGAGCUUCAACUCCCUAUGUAUGUUUUUCCUCUUUUUAUUUUUCUUUUUGGACAAAAAAAAAAUACUGCAUGCAGAUGUCUGCACAUGAGAUAGACAUUCCUGCUUUCACUACUUGUCAGCUCCAGUUCACCUGUUAAACAACUGUUCUUGAUUAAGUCCUUUUCAGGACAUUGUAAUGACAAUUCCUUUUCUUUAA